UCGUUAUUCUUGAUGGGUUGAUAAUUUUGUUUUUCGUUCUUUGGAUUAUUUGUAAGAGAAGUAGCUAUCUGUUCUUAAACCCUCAGUAGUGGCCAACUAACGUUUUGGGGGUAUUUACUUGAUUUAUUUGGGAGGCAUGAUUCUCUAAGCCAGAGAAAAUCUUCUGCUAGAAAUAAAUCAACGAAAGAACAGACCGACCUUCCCAGUUUUUGUCUAAUAACUAUUUGACUAGCAGUAGGAAAUAUAAAUAAUUUUCUCCUCGAGAAGAGGUAAAUAGUGUAGAAAAUGAAAAAGAAAAAAUGGCGGGUGAGAUUGUAAUUUUCAUAUAAUAUUGUACCUUUGUGAUUCAAAUUCAGAACCAUUGUGCGUGUAAGUUUCUUAUCUAUUAGCAUAUUUUUCUUGAUACAAGCAUUCUAUACUGGAUGCCUUCGAUUUUCAAAAUUUCAGACUGGGAUGAGGGGCCGUCGACCUGUCUGGGGUAAGGGGAGACUCGAUAAGGGAAAAUGUGCAAGGAUGCGCUGCCACUGAGCCACCGUUGAGCCGAAAUGAAGUGUAAUGGAGAGGAGGAAAGUCUUCACUGUGAGUACCCUUGGAAGUCCUUAACGAUGCUCUGAUAUUUCCAUCGGAAAAAAAAAAAUCUGAACUACUGCAUUCCGGAUACCCCAAACCAUAACCUUGUGUUUGGAUCCUGCAAGAGAAAUAGAGAAAUUAAAUAAUAGAGAGAUUAAAGAAUUAGAGAAGAAAAGAAUUUUGAUUUAUCUUGGAUAAAGGAGUAGUUUAGAGUAGAAAUCAAAUUUCUUGUAGAGAAGAUAUAUAAGCGUUGCAUACCUAUUUCCCUCCCUUUCCUUUUGCCACCAAAUUGGGAGAAAUUUGUAAUAAACUGGGAAAUGCUAGUGUUUUUUCCUUUUAUUUUUGGUGAUACUAAGCUAAUUAAUGAGAACGAGAUAUUCAUAAAUGAACCUAAGCUAAACUAAUCUUUGCUCG
rnacentral:lncRNA from 1 species